rnacentral:lncRNA from 1 species
GUCGUUCCUCCGCGUUACAGAGCUACAGCGGUCUCCGGGUGGCGAAGUGCGGAGACGGGGUUUUGGAGACGGUGGAUGGAGGAGGGGGAGGGAAAGCUGCCAACUUUGGAUACCAACCCCGUACACCCACCGAAGGGGAUGUCCCACUUUUUCCAGCGCUGGGAGCAAAAAGAUAACAGUGAGCGAGGUUGAAAACACCUGACAGUGAAAAGAGCAAUUUGAAGAAAAACAAAAUUUAUCUUCAAUGUGAAAAGCAAUUUAUAAAAAUCCGAAUACUUGCCAGGAGCAACUUGACAAAAAAGACAAAGGUGGUAGAAGAAAUGUAACCAGCCCACAAUUCCAAUGUUGAUAACAGAUGAGCUCCCUUUCAAGGUGACUGACAUUUACACAAGUACACAGAGCAAGAAGAAGGUCUGAGUGAACUGCCAAGCAUUUUAACUUCUCCUGAGACCAAGUACAUCAACAGUUCUCUUGGAAAAGAACAACUGAUUUGGGAGUCUAGCAGACUGCCAGCUGCAAGACAUUCAUCCAGCAUCAGGAACACAAUGGGCCUUCAUUUGCCUGCCUUUCUGAGGGCACCAAUCAAAAGGAGUCUACUCCUAUGUAAAUCUUCUGCAGGUUGUGCAGUGGACUUCACCUAGUCUCCCAUCUCCAGCUAAUUUGGCCAAGAAUAGUCACCUGGCGCAAGGUGGGGAGGGAGCUCUCAAUUGGCCAGCAACUUCUGACGUGUGACCUGACUGAACAAUGAGAGGCUCGAGUGAAAUUACCAGCUGGUAGUAGGACAGAGGAUAUAGAUACAUGGAAUGGAGCUGAGCCAAAUUAAUGACAAAGGACUAGACAAGAAUGACUGUUGAUGAUCACCUAUGCUGAGAUCACAAAGCUGCCCCGAGUCCAGAAGCAGGUUCACUGAGGGAGGCUCAACCAUGUUACCAAUCUUGUUUGAGAUUAAUGUUCCUUGUUG